AGGAAGUGGGAGGUUGAUGAUAAUCUUCUUUCGAUUUUCUGAAUUAGUGGUAGGAAUGCAUCAAGUUUUGGUUUGCGUAGCCCCAUGGUGAGACCUAGGUAUGUAAAGGGAAGAGUUCUAAUCUGGCAUUGAAAAGUAUUCGCCAACAGACUCAUUCAUUGUUCUGGAACAUUUAUAGGAUAUAUACUUGAUUUCUGGUAGUUGACCUUGAGCCCUGUAGAUUCUGCAAAUGAUAUUACCAUUGCUUUCAGGAAAAAUAAUUGUUUGGGGGCAUGCUUCCAUUAUCAUUAUCAUUAUCAUGUCAUCUGCAUACUGAAUAAUUGGGAAGUCUUGCCCACAUCUCUGUUGCAAAGGUAAUCUGAUUAAUCCUAGGUCCUUUGCCUUGUUCAUUAUAGUUUGAAGUAGAUUUGCUGCAAGGACAAAGAGAUGGGGGGACAGCGGGUCACCUUGCCUGACUCCUCUUUUACAGUGGAAUUGCUUGCCUGGGUCUCCAUUUAGUAAGAUCUCCAAAGUACUAGAGUCCAUGAUCAUUUUGAUCCAGGUUAUCCAUUUAGGUCUGAAUCCUUUGUGCUUCAGAAUGUCUAUUAUCACUUUAUGUUCCGGUUUGUCAAAUGCUUUUUCAAAGUCCAGUUUCAAAAUCACCAGCUCUUUUUUUGUUUGUUUACAUAGGAAUAAGUAUUCAAAGGACCAAGCAAGACAGUCUUGGAUAGUUCUCUCCUUUAUAAAUCCAUAUUGAUUUAUGUGCACUAGCUUAGUGAUAACCUUUUGCAUCCUGUUGGCGAGGAGUUUUGUGAUCAGUUUCACACUUGUGUUCAGGAGAGAAAUCGGCCGAUAGUGAUUCAGUAUAAUAGGGGUGUCCUUUUUUGGGAUGAGAGUUAUAGGACCCAUUUAUACUUCUCAUGCAAAUGUUUUCAUUGUAAAAUCCGUCGUAGAGGUCAUAAAAAUCUAGAGUGAUUAUUGACCACCAUUUUUUAACGAAGUCUGUAAUGAAUCCAUCAGGUCCUAGGGAUUUAUUUGAAGGAAGAAUUCUAAUAAUCCCAUCAAUUUCUUGUGUUGUGAAGGGAUCUUCUAGAGAUGCGAGAUUAUCUGCCGGUUGAAAAAGCGUGGUCAAAAACCAUAGAUGUUUCUUGUGAGGAGCCCAACCUUUCUUUAUAUGCUUCAUAAAGUACUGACGCUUUGUCUAUAUGGUUAUGUACUUGAUUUCCGCUUGUAUCCCGAAUAGUUGCAAUCAGAUUUUGUCGGUGCCUCACUAUUGCCCUUGCAUGAAAGAAUUUUGUUCGAGCAUCACCAAGAGUAGCCAAUUUGAUUUGCCCUCUUUGUUUCUAGUAUGCUUUUUGUUUUGAUAAUAGCUCUUGAAGGUUCUAUAAGAGAAUAUCCUUGAAGUUCCAUUCUUGCACUGUUAAGUCUCUAUUUUCUUCCACUAGGUCUAGAAAUUGUGCUACCAAUUUUAUGUUAUCAAUCACCUUAUUUAGGUUAGGAAGAUUCAUGUGCCAUUCUUUGAUGGCCUUUCUGGUUCUUUUGAAUCUAGCCAUCAGUCUCUUGUCCGGGUCAUGUUGAUGAAUUUGUAUAUUCCAAGCACUUUGGAAAGUUGUCUGGAAAUCCUCAUCUACAGCUAGUAAUUUUCGAAUAUGAAAACAUGUGGUCUUGGGACAUUUGUUUAACUGUGAUCACCCAAGGGACAUGGUCGAAGGUGUCCUUUGCUAGAGUCAGCUGUUGUACUAGGGAAUUGUGAUGACCAAAUGUGAGAGGCGAAACAACAGCCCAUUUUUUCAAGAAGAGGGUGGCGUUGCAUAUUAGACUAGGUGUACGCCUGACCCUUUACAGGGAUUUCUUGAACUCCAAGCUGACUUAUGGCCAUGUUAAUGUCCAACAUCCUUUGUAUAUUGGCGCUUGGCUUGUUACAAUUUUUAGGGCUUCUGAUCAUAUUGAAAUCACCUAAUAUGAUCCAAGGUCUGUCUAGAGGCAUUAUGAUGUUGGAGAACAAUUGGAGAAAUAGCUCCCUCUCUUCAUUCAUGCAUGGUGCAUAUAUGUUUGUGAGCCACCAUUUCUGGUGCGAUAGUCUAGAGCAGAAGUGAACUGUAUGAGCAAAAUUGUUUUGUUGUACCAUUGAUACUUCAAAUUUCGAACUUUUCCAGAUGCUAAACAUGCAGAGAUGUUGUCUCACUAAGACUAUAGAGAUGUUGUACUCUAUAAACUACAAAGAUGAUGUCUCCAAAGACUGGAGUGCAACAGAGAUGUUGUCCUCCAAAGGUGUUGUCCUCUAGACAGCAGCAGAGAUGAUGUCCUUCAACGGUGUUGUCCUCCAAACACUGUACAGAUGUUGUCCUCUACAAACUAUAGAGAUGAUGUCCUCUAAAGAGUGGACUGCAACAAAGAUGUUGUGUCCUCCACUAGUAGAAAAAGGCUCAAAGCCUGCGGUGCGGUAUAUUUUUACAGGCGGAUUCAGUUAUAAACCGCAUGUGCUAUUUUUUAGUGGUGUUUCCUUAAGAAAAUUGUCACUACAAAUUGUAUUUCUACAGGCUGUU
rnacentral:lncRNA from 1 species